rnacentral:rRNA from 1 species
UACGUAGGGGGCAAGCGUUGUCCGGAAUCAUUGGGCGUAAAGCGCGUGUAGGCGGCUCGGUAAGUCCGCUCUGAAAGUCCAAGGCUCAACCCUGGGAUGCCGGUGGAUACUGUCGGGCUCGAGUCCGGAAGAGGCGAGUGGAAUUCCUGGUGUAGCGGUGAAAUGCGCAGAUAUCAGGAGGAACACCAAUGGCGAAGGCAGCUCGCUGGGACGUGACUGACGCUGAGACGCGAAAGCGUGGGGAGCAAACAGG